AUACGGAGGGUGCAAGCGUUGUUCGGAUUUAUUGGGCGUAAGGCGAGUGUAGGCGGUUUGACAAGUCGAAUGUGAAAUCCCGAGGCCCAACCUCGGAACUGCAUCCGAAACUGUCAGGCUAGAGUCCCGGAGAGGAUGGCGGAAUUCCCGGUGUAGGGGUGAAAUCCGUAGAUAUCGGGAGGAACACCAGUGGCGAAGGCGGCCAUCUGGACGGUGACUGACGCUGAGACUCGAAAGUGUGGGUAGCAAACAGGAUUAGAUACCCCGGUAGUCC
rnacentral:rRNA from 1 species